GUGUUCAUUUCCGUAACACAUAUACUAAAAUUGGAAUGAUACAGAGAAGAUUAGCAUGGCCCCAAGCAAGGAUGACACACAAAUUCAUGAAACAUUCUGUAUUUUU
ensembl:snRNA U6 U6 spliceosomal RNA